rnacentral:rRNA from 1 species
CCUACGGGUGGCUGCAGUGGGGAAUAUUGGACAAUGGGCGAAAGCCUGAUCCAGCCAUGCCGCGUGUGUGAAGAAGGCCUUCGGGUUGUAAAGCACUUUCAGUGGGGAAGAAAGCCUUGGGGCUAAUACCCUCGAGGAAGGACAUCACCCACAGAAGAAGCACCGGCUAACUCCGUGCCAGCAGCCGCGGUAAUACGGAGGGUGCGAGCGUUAAUCGGAAUUACUGGGCGUAAAGCGCGCGUAGGCGGUCUGAUAAGCCGGUUGGGAAAGCCCCGGGCUCAACCUGGGAACGGCAUCCGGAACUGUCAGGCUAGAGUGCAGGAGAGGAAGGUAGAAUUCCCGGUGUAGCGGUGAAAUGCGUAGAGAUCGGGAGGAAUACCAGUGGCGAAGGCGGCCUUCUGGACUGACACUGACGCUGAGGUGCGAAAGCGUGGGUAGCAAACAGGAUUAGAUACCCCUGUAGUC